AUGAGUUGGCAAGGAAGAUCAGCAGGUAGGCUUAGACCAAGACGGUAUCUGCAGCCUCCUGAGCUAACUGGGCCUGUGCUUGAGCCCAGUGAUGAACAGCCUCAACGAGAGGAACCACCACCUGAAAGUCGGGGUCCUACACCUGGCCAGGAGAGAGAGGAAGAUCACGGUGCCGCUGAGAUUCUUGUGCUUGACCAGGAAGCUGAUCUCCGGGAGCUGUCUCAAAGACUGGGAUGAAUGUGGAGAUGGUCCUGAUGUCCGGGGAAGAUUCUGCCGAAAUCAGAGCAAUUUAAAUUGCCAGAAGGAGGUGAAGGGCAACCACAGGUUCCAAGGAAGACAAGCUGAAACAAUGCAAACUGGUUUUAUAUUAGAUAAUGACUUAAAAUAUCUCAAUACAGUUUUCUCCAAAAAAAAAAAAAGUUAGCCGAGUAUGGGGGUGUGCUCGGUAUGGCUUGAGCCCAGGAGUGAGUUUGAAGCUGCACCGAGCAAUGACUGUGCCACUGCACCCCUGUCUGGGCAAUGGAGUAAGACCCUGUCUCUAAAA